rnacentral:rRNA from 1 species
UGGGGAAUCUUGCGCAAUGCGCGAAAGCGUGACGCAGCAACGCCGCGUGCGGGAAGACGGCCUUCGGGUUGUACACCGCUUUCAGUUGGGACGAAGGUCCGCGGGUUAAUAGCCUGCUGGACUGACGGUACCUUCACAAGAAGCACCGGCUAACUACGUGCCAGCAGCCGCGGUAAUACGUAGGGGGCAAGCGUUGUCCGGAAUCAUUGGGCGUAAAGCGCGUGUAGGCGGCUUGUUAAGUCCGCUCUGAAAGUCCAGGGCUCAACCCUGGAAUGCGGGUGGAUACUGGCAAGCUUGAGUCCGGAAGAGGCGAGUGGAAUUCCUGGUGUAGCGGUGAAAUGCGCAGAUAUCAGGAGGAACACCAAUGGCGAAGGCAGCUCGCUGGGACGGUACUGACGCUGAGGUGCGAAAGCGUGGGGAGCAAA